AACGAACGCUGGCGGCAUGCCUAACACAUGCAAGUCGAACGAGACCGCCGGGUCUAGGGGCGCACGGGUGCGUAAGGCGGGGGAACCUGCACUUGGGUUAGGAAUAACUCCCCGAAAGGGGUGCUAAUACCGGAUAAUGUCUUCGGACCAAAGAUUUGGCGCCUGGGGGUGGGCCCGGGUUAGAUUAGCUAGUUGGUGGGGGAGAAGCCUACCAAGGCGACGAUGGGUAGCUGGUCGGAGAGGAAGAUCGGGGACACUGGGAGUGGGACACGGCCCAGACGGCUGCGGGGGGCAGGAGUGGGGAAUAUGGCAGAAUGGGCGGAAGCCUGAUGCAGCAACGCCGCGUGCGGGAUGACGGCCGUCGGGUUGGAAACCGCUUUCGCCUGUGACGAAGCGUGAGUGACGGUAAUGGGUAAAGAAGCACCGGCUAACUACGUG
rnacentral:rRNA from 1 species